AACGAACGCUGGCGGCAGGCUUAACACAUGCAAGUCGAACGCCCCGCAAGGGGAGUGGCAGACGGGUGAGUAACGCGUGGGAAUCUACCGUACCCUACGGAAUAACGCAUGGAAACGUGUGCUAAUACCGUAUACGCCCUACGGGGGAAAGAUUUAUCGGGGUAUGAUGAGCCCGCGUUGGAUUAGCUAGUUGGUGGGGUAAAGGCCUACCAAGGCGACGAUCCAUAGCUGGUCUGAGAGGAUGAUCAGCCACAUUGGGACUGAGACACGGCCCAAACUCCUACGGGAGGCAGCAGUGGGGAAUAUUGGACAAUGGGCGCAAGCCUGAUCCAGCCAUGCCGCGUGAGUGAUGAAGGUCUUAGGAUUGUAAAGCUCUUUCACCGGAGAAGAUAAUGACGGUAUCCGGAGAAGAAGCCCCGGCUAACUUCGUGCCAGCCGCCGCCGUAA
rnacentral:rRNA from 1 species